rnacentral:rRNA from 1 species
UUAAGAAUCUUCCGCAAUGGGGGCAACCCUGACGGAGCGACGCCGCGUGAACGAGGAAGGCCGAAAGGUUGUAAAGUUCUUUUCUUGGGGAAGAAUAAAGGGAAGAGGGAAUGCUUCUCUGAUGACGGUAACCGAGGAAAAAGCCCCGGCCAAUUACGUGCCAGCAGCCGCGGUAACACGUAAGGGGCGAGCGUUGUUCGGAAUUAUUGGGCGUAAAGGGCGUGUAGGCGGUUUGGUAAGCCUGGUGUAAAAGGCGUACGCUUAAAGUACGUAGGUCGCUGGGGACUGUCAGACUAGAGUGUAGGAAGGGGAGCUGGAAUUCCAGGUGUAGGGGUGAAAUCUGUAGAUAUCUGGAAGAACACCGAUGGCGAAGGCAAGCUUCUAGCCAUACACUGACGCUGAGGCGCGAAAGCGUGGGGAGCGAACA